UACGGGGGGGGGCAAGCGUUGUUCGGAAUUACUGGGCGUAAAGGGCUCGUAGGUGGCCAACUAAGUCAGACGUGAAAUCCCUCGGCUCAACCGGGGAACUGCGUCUGAUACUGGAUGGCUUGAAUUCGGGAGAGGGAUGCGGAAUUCCAGGUGUAGCGGUGAAAUGCGUAGAUAUCUGGAGGAACACCGGGUGGCGAAGGCGGCAUCCUGGACCGAGAUUGACGCUGAUGCGCGAAAGCCAGGGGAGCAAACGGG
rnacentral:rRNA from 1 species